rnacentral:rRNA from 1 species
CCUACGGGAGGCUGCAGUGGGGAAUAUUGCGCAAUGGGCGAAAGCCUGACGCAGCGACGCCGCGUGAGGGAUGAAGGUCUUCGGAUCGUAAACCUCUGUCAGCAGGGAAGAACGGUCACUGUGAUCAUCAGCAGUGAAUUGACGGUACCUGCAAAGGAAGCACCGGCUAACUCCGUGCCAGCAGCCGCGGUAAACCGGAGGGUGCGAGCGUUAAUCGGAAUUACUGGGCGUAAAGCGCUCGUAGGCGGGAUGUCAAGUCAAGGGGGAAAUCCCCGCGCUCAACGUGGGAACUGCCUGUGAAACUGGCAAACUGGAGUGUGUGAGAGGAUAGUGGAAUUCCAGGUGUAGGAGUGAAAUCCGUAGAUAUCUGGAGGAACACCAGUGGCGAAGGCGACUAUCUGGCACAUAACUGACGCUGAGGAGCGAAAGCGUGGGUAGCAAACAGGAUUAGAUACCCCUGUAGUC